CAAUAGCGUAUCUUAAUGUUGUUGCAGUUAAAAAGCUCGUAGUCGAAUUUCUGGUCGGAGAAACCGCACUUCGUGUGGACCUUCUUUAGACCAUCCGCCUGAAAAUACUGUGGUUUUUAAUCGCUCUACUUUAGGAUCAGGCAUUUUACUUUGAAGAAAUUAGAGUGUUUCAGGCAGGCUUUCGCUUGAAUACACCAGCAUGGAAUAAUGGAAUAGGACUGAUAUCAGUUACUGGUUAAUGAUAUUAGUAAUGAUUAAUAGGGACAGUUGGGGGCGAUUCGUACUUGACAGUCAGAGGUGAAAUUCUUCGAUUUGUCAAAGACGAACUAAUGCGAAGGCAUCUGCCAAGGAUGUUUUCAUUGAUCAAGAACGAAAGACAGGGGAUCAAAGACGAUUAGAU
rnacentral:rRNA from 1 species